UACGAAGGGGGCUAGCGUUGUUCGGAAUUACUGGGCGUAAAGCGCGCGCAGGCGGUCUUCCAAGUCAGUGGUGAAAGCCCGGAGCUCAACUCCGGAACUGCCAUUGAAACUGUGAGACUUGAGUACGAGAGAGGUGAGUGGAAUUCCUAGUGUAGAGGUGAAAUUCGUAGAUAUUAGGAAGAACACCGGUGGCGAAGGCGGCCCACUGGUCCGGUACUGACGCUGAGGUGCGAAAGCGUGGGGAGCAAACAGG
rnacentral:rRNA from 1 species